rnacentral:lncRNA from 1 species
AUUUGUCUAAAACACGUAUGCCCAUGUGUAAUGCCAGAAUAUAAGUAAAGAGUAUAGUCAGAAUGUAGGAUCAUCAGUAUUAUGAUUGUAACUGUGCAUAUGUUUGUGUGUUUCAUAACUGUAUGUAUUUAUCUUUUGUUUCUAUCUAUUUUAAGUUCUUCUCUCUAUUUAUGGUCAAGUUACUUUUGUAAAUCCAAGCAGAUGAGUCGAAUCAUGAAUCACA